rnacentral:misc_RNA from 1 species
GUGAAUCAUCAAAUUUUUGAACGCAAAUUGCGCUUCCUGGUAUUCCGGGAAGUAUGCCUGUUUGAGGGUCAGUAUUAAUAUAAAAUCGGUUUAGUUACGAAUCGUGACGUUUCUGGAGUUUUGGCUAUCUUAAUAUUUUUGGUUAAGAGGUUUAAAAUUGACCUUUUUUGCGCACUUUUAAACGUACAUAAAUUUUUUUUAUUCGUCUAUUCUUAAUGCUAAAGUCUUAUUAGAUGCGAUUACAUCGUGUGGCUUAGUGUUCAUAAAAUUUUGAUGAUUUGACCUCAAAUUAGGUAGGAGU